AGGUAGGUCGCAAGUGUUUUCACAUAACCUCAGGAGUCCCACAAGGUUCCAUCCUUGGUCCGGUGAUAUAGACGACGAGGUGUUGAGGUUAAACCGAAAGUCGGAGCAGCAAGCGGAGAUCAGUAUAGGCGAUUGCACUAUCACUUAGAAGCGCUCCGUCAAACCUUGGCUGAUGUGAUUUUUUACUUAAUCAUUUAUUUAAGGCUCAUGCGCCAACAGGCAUAACGGAUCCGAAUUCAGUUUAAACUAUUUACAAUUUCAUGUUUUUCUCUUAUAAACUAUGUUAGUUUUGGGGAACCGAAAAACUCGCGGUUUGGUCGAGGUUAAGGGGAACAAAAAUAUUUGAGGAAAGGAUAUGGUGAUGGGGCUUUUCGUUGACACGUGACAGCUUGGUGUGGCGUAUUGCUGCUGGUCAAACGUAGAGUGGACAAACAACCUGUAACGAUACAAACAGACGAUUUUCGAAGGGACACGAGGUGGACAAGUGGAACAACAAGACGGGGAUAUCAAACGAAGACUUCAGCUUGCUUCAAGAAGUCGUACACAAGCUUCAUAUACUCAAGAUCAAGUUUACUCAACACAUCUCUAAUGUCUUCCUUUUCUGGUUUCCCUCAGGCCCUGA